UCUUUCAUGUGCAAAGGCCAGAUGGCUUAUCUGCUGCAACUUCAUGAAGGCAGCAGUGAUUUCCAAUUCUCACAAACACAAAAUCCUUCACUUUGAAGCCAGCCCACAGCCAUUUCCAUCAUUUCCUUUCCUUUCUGCAAAUGUGUGCUGUUUUCUGUGUCGACAAGAAUGGAAAUGGCAGCACACGGUAGUCACCUCAAAACCACUUUCUAAAGGAGAGCCUGCACUGUUGUGUCCCCAGGACACCAGGGACUGGAUGGGCACCUUUUCUGUGCUCUCCAUCAUCACCUAGGCACCCCAUCUAGCCUUUCUCAGUGAAGAUAAGCCUCUACCUUUUGUGUAUUCUCCCUUUGUGUUUUCAUCU
rnacentral:lncRNA from 1 species